rnacentral:rRNA from 1 species
GAUGAACGCUGGCGGCGUGCCUAAUACAUGCAAGUCGAACGCACUGUGGUUCAACUGAUUUGAAGAGCUUGCUCUGAUCUGACGAUGAACAUUGCAGUGAGUGGCGAACGGGUGAGUAACACGUGGGAAACCUACCUCUUAGCGGGGGAUAACAUCUGGAAACAGAUGCUAAUACCGCAUAACACUAGCAACCGCAUGGUUGCUACUUGAAAGAUGGUUCUGCUAUCACUAAGUGAUGGUCCCGCGGCGCAUUAGUUAGUUGGUGAGGUAAUGGCUCACCAAGACGAUGAUGCGUAGCCGAGUUGAGAGACUGAUCGGCCACAAUGGGACUGAGACACGGCCCAUACUCCUACGGGAGGCAGCAGUAGGGAAUCUUCCACAAUGGACGAAAGUCUGAUGGAGCAACGCCGCGUGUGUGAUGAAGGGUUUCGGCUCGCAAAACACUGUUGUAAGAGAAGAAUAGCAUCUAGAGUAACUGCUAGGUGUCUGACGGU